UUUUUUUUUUUCUUUUUUUCGGAGCUGGGGACCAAACCCAGGGCCUUGUGCUUGCUAGGCAAGCACUCUACCACUGAGCUAAAUCCCCAACCCCUAAGUCAUACUUUUAAGUCCAGCUUUAGGAGGAUCUCUGGGAAGCUUUGUGAAUUCAAAGCCUACCUGGUCUACAUAGCGAGUUUCAGGCCAGCCUAGUCUACGAAGAGAAACCCAGUCUUGAAGCAAAAUCAUACAAACCAAGAUUCACUACUUAUCCUGCUCCCAGUGUGGCCUAGCGCUCCCAUCCUGCAGACUAGAGAGACAGAGUCCAACAGUGAACCAGCCCUGAAGAACAGACGUGGUUCAAGGGCUCAGGGAGAUGGGGUGAAAUCACAGGAGAGGUUGUUUAUUUUCCUGUGAGAUAUCCACUUCACUCAAGCAGCUCCUUUCCCUUCCUCAGUUUUGGUGCUCUUCGGUCAGUCUCCUCGUCACCAUAUGUCACUCUGUCUAGGCCCCUCAGCCAGGUGGAAGAUGUGGACUUCCAGCCUGCCAGAUACCCAGAGAUUCUUGGUCUCAGAGUGUCUUUGGCCAAGGGGCUCUGGCAUCUGGCCAGUGCCUUUCUCCCUGCUGGACUCACUCCCCACUGGCCCCUAAUCCAUCUCACCCAGCAGGAAGCCCUUAAGCUCCCUUUUCAAUGGCCUUCCCCAGCCUGCUGUGGGCUCUGAGCCUUUCUAUAUCACCCUUGGCAGGAGCUAUGUUGUACAAGCUGGAGAGAGCUGCCCUUAGAAAAGAGGUCAUCUUGCCUCAAACAGCUUCCCGCUCCUGGCUGGCUGGCUGCCCCUCUCCUCUCCCCAGGGUCACCCUUCUACUACGUUGCCUGGGCGUCUUGUGGCACGGAGAGCCCUGGCUAAGUCACACAGCAAAGUUCUACACGGUUCAGGUGGUGUAGAGAGGAAGCUACAGAGACGGAGGGCAGGAUGCUGGGGUCUGGGGGAAGUGUGGCCGUCAAUAGUGGCCUCGGCUCUGUGCCAUAUCUUCUUAAAAGACCACUCUUCACUUUCCCUGAUGCUUCCAGAUUUUCCAGGGCAUUCUCAGGCUGUGAUGCAGCCCAGAUAGCACCAGGAGAGCCCAGCCCUUGGGAGAAAAGAGCCAAGCUGAGGGGUGGCAAGGGCUGGGGCACGGGCCCUUUCUUUCUAGAAUGUAUUACUAAUUGCUCGUCAACCCUGGUAUUGAAGAUUUGACAGCUUGAAUCAUUCUUGAGUGGGCGUGGCUUCAAAUCCCCAGUCCCAUGACUCCAGCACGUCGACUUGUAAUGGUUUUAAUUUUUGGUUUGGAAAAUACGAUCUUUUUUUUUUUUUUUUUUUUUUUCCAAGCUGGAAGUACCAGCUCACAUCUAGAACGCAAGCCGAGACAGGAGGAUUGCCAAGAAUUAGAGAGGCCUUGCCUGGACUAGGUUGAAGAAGAUUAAUGUCGCCUUUUGUCACUGAGUGACCUAUGCCAGGAAGGACCACGUUGGCCAUUGAGUUUAGGCUCAGUUGUUGAGCUUCAGGAGUCUGAAGAGGGAGCCUGGGGGCAUUGAGGGACUUGGAGAGGCUGUGAAGACUCCAUUGGAGUUGCAGGGUAGUGAAGCUGGCAGUUACACGAUGAACCCUACAAAAAAUACUGGCGAGACGAAGAUGCUGCCUGGAAUCCAAGCAUCUGGGGCUGGAUCCUCCCAUCAUGUCCCCUGAGAAGGUCCAGCUGGAGAGACAAGCUAACAUGAACAUCCCCUCAUGUUAGGACUCACUGUUCUUUCUACUCCUGAUGCUAAGGUUGGGCCUCUUUGAGACUUUAUAUCCACCGUAGAGCCUGAGCUAGAGAGUGUCUAAAGCCUUUAGGGGGCUAAGGCUGUGAUGAGAGAAGACAGGGUGUAGGGGGUUGGGAGAAGUGACUGAGAAAGAGAGGGGAGAGAGGGUAAUAGCUUUGUGUUCCCACUGGAACGCAGCAUCCUCCAUAAUUCACACUGAACUUCAGCAUGAAGAAUCUACAAGGGGCUGGGGAUUUAGCUCAGUGGUAGAGUGCUUACCUAGGAAGCGCAAGGCCCUGGGUUCGGUCCCCAGCUCCGGAAAAAAAAGAACCAAAAAAAAAAGAAUCUACAAAACUAUUUUUGGUGCAUGUGUUACGUGGUGGGUAUGUGUGUAAGUGUCCGGAAGUGAGCCUUCUUCAAAUCAGUGUCUAUGCAGCAUGCAUGCACAAUAAAGCCAGAGGCGGACCAGCAGGGCAUUCCUCCAUAGCUCUCUACCCUCGUUUAUGUACUUAAAAAGUUUUAUGGGCUCAGCAGGCAAAUGCAUCUGCUGUCAAACAUCACAUCCUGAAUUCCAUCCCGAAGACCACAUGGAGGGAGAGACAAACUCCUGCAAGUUGUCCUCUGACCUACACAGGCUUGCUGCCUGCUGUGGUGUUACUUAGCAAUUUCCUCCUAGAGAAAACAUGCCACCCUGCAGGGAAGCCCUUCAAAACUAAGGAAGUAAACAACUCAAAAGCAUUAGGAAGUCCCUGAAACUGACCAGAUUCACUAGGCUCUUAUCUCUCCAAGGUUAUAUAAACGAUAAAGUCUUCUGAGAGAGACACUGAGAACAGAUGAGCUGUCUGGAGGAGACUCCAGCCGUCUAAGCUGCCUGCAAAAUUGUGCAGUGAGCACUAUGCUUCCAGGUUCUGUGCUCAUCAUCCAUGCUGGGAUAAGCUUUUGGUGAUGCAGCCAUCUUUGAGUGAUUUCUGCUACUCCACCCAUACUCCGCAUGUAGUCACAAUAAAACUCAUUGGCUUACCAA